rnacentral:rRNA from 1 species
AACGAACGCUGGCGGCAUGCCUAACACAUGCAAGUCGAACGAAGCCUUCGGGCUUAGUGGCGCACGGGUGCGUAACGCGUGGGAAUCUGCCCCUCGGUUCGGAAUAACAGUUAGAAAUGACUGCUAAUACCGGAUGAUGACGAAAGUCCAAGGAUUUAUCGCCGAGGGAUGAGCCCGCGUAGGAUUAGCUUGUUGGUGGGGUAAUGGCCCACCAAGGCGACGAUCCUUAGCUGGUCUGAGAGGAUGAUCAGCCACACUGGGACUGAGACACGGCCCAGACUCCUACGGGAGGCAGCAGUGGGGAAUAUUGCGCAAUGGGGGGAAACCCUGACGCAGCCACGCCGCGUGAGUGAUGAAGGCCUCGGGUUGUAAAGCUCUGUCGGGAGGGACGAAGGGG